UAACGCGUGGGAAUCUGCCCUGGAGUGGGGGAUAACCGAGGGAAACUUCGGCUAAUACCGCAUGACCCCGGCGAUCGAGAGAUUGUCGGGCAAAGAUUUAUCGCUCUGGGAGGGGCCCGCGUCGGAUUAGCUAGUUGGUGGGGUAACGGCCUACCAAGGCUUUGAUCCGUAGCUGGUCUGAGAGGAUGAUCAGCCACACUGGGACUGAGACACGGCCCAGACUCCUACGGGAGGCAGCAGUGGGGAAUAUUGGACAAUGGGCGCAAGCCUGAUCCAGCAAUGCCGCUUGUGUGAGGAAGGCCUUAGGGUUGU
rnacentral:rRNA from 1 species